AUCAAUUAUAUGGUCAAUUUUGGAGAAGGUACCAUGAGGUGCGGAGAAGAAGGCAACUCCCAUAUCCUGACAAGAUGAUUGGGUUGGCAGCCACAGUGUGGACAACACAGUGGAACCAGAUUGGGAGCAAGAAUAUCCACCCACUCAGGACCUAGGGGUCCAUUCAGAGAUCAUUCAGCCAUGAGAGCCUAUUGUCAGAUGAGUGAAACCAAGCCUAUGCUUACUAUAGGCAGAUGGGUCCAUCACCAUGUGGCCACUUGUUCUGUGUUUAAGGAAACCAUGCUAAGAACUCUUCUGCUUGUUCAGCUGCCCACACAAGCAGACUGUGUUGGUCAGCAAGCUAAGGCCCACACCUGGGACAUCUGGAGCCCACCAUUGUCCAUUGUCAAUUUGAAGCCAGCCCCAGAGCAAGACAAUAUAGCUCUGCUGAAAGGAAGGUCGAAUUGCUGAACCCCCACAGUAGGUACCACAGAGAAGAGGGGAUUCCCAGGACUCUGGCUUAAUUUCUCUGGCUACCAUACUAAUCAUAUGCAUCUCACAAUUACUCUCUUUCUUUCUUUGUUUCUUUCUUUCUCUCUCUCUCUCUCCUUUCUUUCUUUCUUUCUUUCUUUCUUUCUUUCUCUCUCUCUCCUUCCUUCUUUCUUUCUUCCUUCUUUCCUUCCUUUCUUCCUACCUUUCUUUCUUUGUUUCUUUGUUUAUUUAUUUAUUGAGACUGCCCUUCUUCUGUCUCUGAGCUCUGUCCCACAGGCAAACUGCCUACAAAGAGGCUAAGCUAGUUAUCCCACCAUCUGAGAGAACUCCUCGCCUGCACUGGUUCCCAUAUGCUUAUUUUUCUUUAUUUCCCCUUCACUUGUUACCCCUCCCAAUCCUACUAUUAAAGAAUAUUUAAUUUCCAUUCUUUCCCAGCUAA